rnacentral:tmRNA from 1 species
GGGGGCGAACUGGCUUCGACGGGUUUAGAAGACAGUCGAGCAGCGUGCCGAGGGCGCCUUGACCCUCGCUAAUAAACUGGGCAAACAAUCAACUGCCAACGAUAACUUGGCUUUGGCCGCCUAACUUUAGGUUGCCCGUCUCUUGAUCGGCUCGCCCGAAGCGGGUCCGGAGGCGUCGAUAAGUCGGGCUGGCCGGUCCAUGUGGCCACGGCGUGGACCGGCGAGAUCCAAUUCGUGGCUAGCCUAAUAGCGGCCGCCUACCGGCCAACUUGCGGGCGAAGUUUCAACGGUAGGCUACGCACGUAGCGGCUCUACUUGACCUAUUCUCGGACGCGGGUUCGAUUCCCGCCGCCUCCAUAA